rnacentral:snRNA from 1 species
ACACAUAUACCAAGAGGCAGUACCAUAGCCAAUGAGGGUUAUCCGAGGCAUGGUUAUUGCUAGUUGAAACUAAACAAACGAACAUACAUACAUAUAUAUAUAUAUAUAUAUAUAUACAC